rnacentral:sRNA from 1 species
UAUGAAUCAUUACUCCUUACCCAGGCAGUAAUGUUCCCGAAGUUUUCUCUUCGUUCUAUGUUUCAUGGUAGUUUAACCUUAUUAACUCUUCUGCAGGCUUUUUGUACACUUAAGAAAACUCUUUAACUCUUGUUGUUUACUUUUUUUCUGGAGCUGGAGGAGGGAAUGAUAUUCAGUGGUGUUUUUCUCAGGUGAAAGGAGCAGUAGAUGAUGAUGUAGCAGAAGCAGAUAUAAUUUCUACAGUAGAAUUUAAUCAUUCUGGAGAAUUACUAGCAACAGGAGAUAAAGGUGGUAGAGUUGUCAUCUUUCAACAGGAGCAGGAGAUGGUCUCACUGUGUUGCUGAUCUUGAACUCCUGACCUCAAGCAAUCCUCUGUCUUGGCCUCCCAAAGUGUUGGAUUACAGAACAAAAUCCAGUCUCAUAGCAGAGGAGAAUAUAAUGUUUACAGCACCUUCCAGAGCCAUGAACCAGAGUUUGACUACUUGAAAAGUUUAGAAAUAGAAGAAAAGAUCAACAAAAUUAGGUGGUUACCCCAGAAAAAUGCUGCUCAGUUUUUAUUGUCUACCAAUGGUAA